rnacentral:rRNA from 1 species
UACAGAGGUCCCAAGCGUUGUUCGGAUUCACUGGGCGUAAAGGGUGCGUAGGUGGCCAGGUAAGUUCGGUGUGAAAGCUCGGAGCUCAACUCCGAAAAGUCAUUGAAUACUAUCUGGCUGGAGGGUCGGAGGGGAGACUGGAAUUCUCGGUGUAGCAGUGAAAUGCGUAGAUAUCGAGAGGAACACCAGUGGCGAAGGCGAGUCUCUGGACGAUACCUGACACUGAGGCACGAAAGCUAGGGGAGCAAACAGG